rnacentral:rRNA from 1 species
UACGAAGGGGCUAGCGUUGUUCGGAAUUACUGGGCGUAAAGCGCACGUAGGCGGACUAUUAAGUCAGGGGUGAAAUCCCGGGGCUCAACCCCGGAACUGCCUUUGAUACUGGUAGUCUCGAGUCCGGAAGAGGUGAGUGGAAUUCCGAGUGUAGAGGUGAAAUUCGUAGAUAUUCGGAGGAACACCAGUGGCGAAGGCGGCUCACUGGUCCGGUACUGACGCUGAGGUGCGAAAGCGUGGGGAGCAAACAGGG